rnacentral:tRNA from 1 species
AUUCAAUUAGUUUAAAUAAAAUAUUAAAUUGUGGUUUUAAAGAUAUAUAAUUGUAUUGAAUA